rnacentral:rRNA from 1 species
AUUGAACGCUGGCGGCAUGCUUUACACAUGCAAGUCGAACGGUAACAGGGAGCUUGCUCCGCUGACGAGUGGCGAACGGGUGAGUAAUAUAUCGGAACGUACCCAAGAGUGGGGGAUAACGUAGCGAAAGUUACGCUAAUACCGCAUACGAUCUAUGGAUGAAAGCAGGGGACCUUCGGGCCUUGUGCUCCUUGAUCGGCCGAUAUCUGAUUAGCUAGUUGGUGAGGUAAAGGCUCACCAAGGCGACGAUCAGUAGCUGGUCUGAGAGGACGACCAGCCACACUGGAACUGAGACACGGUCCAGACUCCUACGGGAGGCAGCAGUGGGGAAUUUUGGACAAUGGGCGCAAGCCUGAUCCAGCAAUGCCGCGUGAGUGAAGAAGGCCUUCGGGUUGUAAAGCUCUUUUGUCAGGGAAGAAACGGCUGUGGCUAAUAUCCACGGCUAAUGACGGUACCUGAAGAAUAAGCACCGGCUAACUACGUG